CGACGGCCUUCGGGUUGUAAACUGCUUUUCUGGGGGACGAGCAGACAAGGACGGUACCCCAGGAAGAAGCCCCGGCUAAUACGUGCCAGCAGCCGCGGUAAUACGUAGGGGGCAAGCGUUGUCCGGAGUUACUGGGCGUAAAGCGCACGCAGGCGGUUGGGCGCGUUUCCGGUGCCAGCUCGUUGCUUAACGACGGGAGUGCCGGGAAGACGGCUUGACUCGAGGGCCUCAGAGGGACAUAGAAUUCCGGGUGGAGUGGUGAAAUGCGUAGAUAUCCGGAGGAAUACCAAAGGCGAAGGCAGUGUCCUGGGAGGUUUCUGACGCUGAGGUGCGAAAGCCAGGGGAGCGAACGGGAUUAGAUACCCCGGUAGUCCUGGCCGUAAACGAUGACCAUUAGGCGUGUGGGGUAUCGACCCCCUGCGUGCCGUAGUUAACACAUGAAAUGGUCCGCCUGGGGAGUACGGUCGCAAGAUUAAAACUCAAAGGAAUUGACG
rnacentral:rRNA from 1 species